GACGAACCGUGCGAACGUUAUUCGGAAUCACUGGGCUUAAAGGGCGCGUAGGUGGUUGAUCAAGUCUGGGGUGAAAUCUUUCGGCUUAACCGGAAAAGUGCCUUGGAUACUGAUCAGCUGGAGGGAGGUAGGGGCAGUUGGAACUUCCAGUGGAGCGGUGAAAUGCGCAGAUAUCAGGAGGAACACCGGUGGCGAAGGCGGGUCUCUGGGCCGAUACUGACGCUGAGGAGCGAAAGCGUGGGGAGCGAACAGG
rnacentral:rRNA from 1 species